GAUGAACGCUGGCGGCGUGCCUAAUACAUGCAAGUCGAGCGAACAGACGAGGAGCUUGCUCCUCUGACGUUAGCGGCGGACGGGUGAGUAACACGUGGAUAACCUACCUAUAAGACUGGGAUAACUUUGGGAAACCGGAGCUAAUACCGGAUAAUAUAUUGAACCGCAUGGUUCAAUAGUGAAAGACGGUUUUGCUGUCACUUAUAGAUGGAUCCGCGCCGCAUUAGCUAGUUGGUAAGGUAACGGCUUACCAAGGCAACGAUGCGUAGCCGACCUGAGAGGGUGAUCGGCCACACUGGAACUGAGACACGGUCCAGACUCUUACGGGAGGCAGCAGUAGGGAAUCUUCCGCAAUGGGCGAAAGCCUGACGGAGCAACGCCGCGUGAGUGAUGAAGGUCUUCGGAUCGUAAAACUCUGUUAUUAGGGAAGAACAAAUGUGUAAGUAACUAUGCACGUCUUGACGGUACCUAAUCAGAAAGCCACGGCUAACUACGUG
rnacentral:rRNA from 1 species